UGCAACUGCAACAGCCCCAAACAAUCAUUUUCACUGUAUUAAGAGGAGUAAUGGUGGCAAAGAAAGCAGAACUACAAGUGGAGAUAUCCUCAGUAAGAUGCCAGAAGACUCAUUCAAAAAUGUUAAAAAGUGGCCUUUUCUACUUCUGUUCCAAAUGUAAUGGAAAACUCAAAGUCCCACAAAUCACAUCGCAGGAAACUGACCAUACUAUUCAAACCACUUUUGAAGGACUAUCGCAUGCCUCUUGAUCAUCUGAGUAAUCAACAAAAUAGAGAUUCCGAUCUCUAUUCUCGCUGCAGAUUGUCACAAACAGAGAGCUGCCCAGUGCAUGGACAGUGAAGACUCAGCAAUGAGAAACCAGAUGCCUAGGCAGCCAGUGUGGAGCUGUGGUUUGUCGAAAGGACCGACUGAGGCAGGAAGCGCGGUAGCCGCCACAGCGCAGGUUUUCACAAACAGUGCUAUUGCCUCCUCUGCCUGGGUUGCCAUGUGCAGCACUGCUGCCUCCAUUUUUGCCACAGGGCAUGCUCACUGCCACCUCUGCUCCCCUUGUCAUAGGCUGCCUGCCAAGGCUGCCUGGAUUCUUACUUGCUGCUAGCUGCAGCAAGAGUACAGCAAGUAAUCACAUAGUUAUUACCACUACCAUCCACACAGCUGCUACAGUGACAAAUACCAUUGCUACCAUGGCUCCUGUUACCCCAAACCAUAGAAGGGACCCAUCUGAACAAAUGCUAGGGUUUGACUGUCAGAUUCUUAGAUGUGUCACAUUUUUCUUUGGAGCUUGGGGCUGUUGUAACAGCUGUUUGUAAACACUGCAAAUCCAGCAUUCGACGGGGGGGAGGAGAAGAAUAUUUUUUCUUCAACUUCUGUCCCUUCCUCAACCAUCUUUACAAAUGUUGCAGAUACACUGACACUUCUGCUGCUGAUUAAAAUAGCAACCAGUAUCAGCUUCCAACUGAACAGGCCAAUGGGCAGGCUCCAUCUCUGACUCCUUCUACGACAGAUGACUCAUUAACAUGUCUGAGAAUGUCCAUUAGGCUGCAGACUCCAGUAAGAAAACCACAAACAAUUAGAUAAGUAUUUGGGAGCUGAAGGGGCUUUGCUCAUAUUCACCCUAAUGCUUUUUUUUCCUUGGGAAAAAAAAAAGAAGCCAUUUCAGCCCAUGGGCUGUGUAAGGUGCUGUAGGAUAGACUCUCAUCCUCAGACUCUCAAAAUCUCCUUGCCAAUAUAUAAGAAUGAAAAGGAGUCCAAGAUGGUGUAAUAUACACGCUGAGCAGCUGGAAGUCUUGAAUGACCACCUUUGUUGGGCAUAUUUCCAUUUGAAAGGAGACUUAGCAAUUUCCAUAUUCUUGAAGGGUUUUGGCCUUCAGAAGAAUUUCCCUAAAGUGUAUCUGAAUGGUUGGCUAUAUACACAAAGUAACUCAGAGUGCUUUACAUAGCGUUAGAUAUUGGGAAAACUUGCUGCCACAGGCCAGUGUGACAGCUCUGAUAACAAUACAAAUUUGCUCCAGUGAGGUAGGAAGGAGUUACCCUCAUUUUAUGGAUGGGAAACUUAUUUGUAGGUCCUUUUCCUGGCCUGUCACUGGCUUAAUGCUGUGUAAUUAAGUCAACAUUUCCAGCAUUCUGCCAAUAGUUUCAAACUGGGGAGCCUAAAGAUUGGUAUCAAAAUACAUAUUCAGACACCUAAACAAGUGGCUUGAUUCUUAGAGCUACUGAGCACCCAUAGCUCCCACUGAAAUCAAAAGGAACUAUAGGAACUAAGCAACUCUGAGAUACUAUAUAGCUGCCUAAAGAUGGUGUUUUGAGUCUAAUGUUAUGCACCUACAUUUUAAAAUAUUGGUUCUCAAAUCAGAAAUUUUGACCUAAGUGAUUUGCCUAAGCCGUGCAGCAUCUAAGUCUAUAAAAGAACCAGGAAAAUAAUCUGGGAGUCUUGAUUCAAAGUUCCCUAGUCUAACUCCUAGAAUACAAAUACUAGAUCAUACCCAGUUUUGGAUAUCAUAACCUGUUUCAUUUAGAAUGGGAAUGCUGGUUGUCAAUAACUAUUUAAACCCGUUACAGCCCCCUGCAUACAGUGAAUAAUUUGAAUAACUAAUAACCUGGAGAAAACAGUGUUUCAUUAGCGAACAAUUCAGAAACAGAAUAAAGGAUUAAUUAAGAAUUAUUUGCCCAGCUCUUCUCGUGCUUCUUGAUACUAGCGCUGUCAGUUUCACUCUACAGCAGGUGACACCAAGAGGUGAGUACUGCAAUGACACAACAAAGCAUGAGUGAUGCUUUUUGUUCUUCAGGAAAGAUGGGAUGGCCUAACUCUUCAUAUAAAAUUUCACAGAGCUUUAGUCCUUCAGACUCCUGAUCAUGAUGUCUAUUGUGAAAAAAAAAAAUCUCUACAUGCGUGCAGCUGCGUCCUUCAGAUCAGGCAUAAAGCUGAAAUCUUUGGCAGCUAUCUAGUUACAAGUAGACCAUUGGAAACAACAGGUCAAACUCAUAACCUCACAGCUAAGUCACCUCUUCGGAUGUGCGGUAGCAGCCAUGGAGGGGAGUCUGCCGAAAAUAGUGCAUCUUCAAUAACUCCCAAUUGGUAUUUACAAAUGGUCAUUUUCAUAGGACAGUGACACAGAGAAUGCCUGAGCCCCUGCUCUCCCCUCUUAUCCCUAAAACCCUGUGGAGUCAGUUACAUACAGAGACCAAGCAGUCAGAUGAGGGAUUUCUGUGCAGUUCCAAAGAGGAAUGGACACUCUGCCAGGCUCACCCAGCCCCCCUUGCAAGUCUUCCCUCCCUCCAUGACUGAUAUAAUGGAUUUCAGUCCACUUCACUUGUGGAAGCGAAGAGGUCCAUUUAGGCCAUAAUAUUUUCUACUGUGCUGUGUCCCUCUUCAGGUUAUUAAACAUCUACUGAUUAUUCUCACAGUAGCAGUAAAACCAGGUGGCUCAGUCCUGCUCCUAGUGAAGUUAGUUGGAGUUUUGCAAUGGUAGUAGGAUCAGUCGCAUCUCUAAUGAAAAGGCAUAUCAUGAGUCAUG